CCUGGUGGGGAGGUCACAAACACAGCCUCCUGUCAAAUACUGAGCCUAAAAUACAACUUCCUGUAAAAUACUGAGCCCAACAUGCAGCUUUCUGUCAAAUACUGAGCCCAACGUGUUUGUUUGACGAUCUUCCUGUUCAAUACUGAGCCCAACAUGUUUCAUUCCGUUGAAUAGUGAGCCACAUACAAACUAAUUAAUGCUAAACCUAUGUGCACUGGUGAAAUCAGUUCCUCUUUGGUCACCGCUGGCAUAAAAACAACAUUAGAGAAUUGUGAAUUACGAAUGGACCUGUACUAUUUUUGGUACCACAGAUACUAGGAGAAGGAUAAAUUGCUAACUUUCAUGAUACACUAAUUAGAUGGGCCAAAAUCGAUUUAUAAACAAUUCAUUGAGCAUCCCUGGGUCAGCUGAGAGUAGAGAUCACAAGAGGUUGUGAUAGAGGAGGUAGAUAGAGGAGGUAGACGGGGAGGUUGAGAAUAUGAGGAGGGGGUAGCAAUGAAUGGUGGAGAGAAGAUAGGAGAAGGAGAGAAAAUGGAGGAGGUAGACGGAAGUUAGGGUAAAGGAGAUAGGCUGUGGCUGAUACCACAGUUCCAGAGCCUCCGUACCGUUUCUUUCAUUUGGAUCUGGUUGAUCUUGAUGCGGAACAGCUUGUGUUUGAAGUCCUUGUUGAAGUUGAAGCGGUCUCCGUCCUCCACGUCCUUCCCCCGGGGGUUCUUGUUGAGGACACGGGCCUUUCCGCAUGCCAGCGACUGGAGCGUACGCUUCAGCUCCCCCUCCUCUGUUACAAGGACAACAAACACCACGUGAAUUCCAAGAAUUUAUUUUUCAUUUUAGUUACAUGAAUAAUUUCUCUCUCUCAAACAUUUUUCUUAAACUGUUAAGACCCUAAAUUUCCAUUUGGGGUUCAUAAUAGUCAUCGUAUUUUGUCUCAGAAGAAAACCAAAGUGGUAGGACCAGGUUCCCCUUGGUAGAGGAAGCAAGUAGUGGGGCAGGAUAGGUUGGAGGAUAAGGGGGUUUACACCCAGCCGAACAGUACUGGGUUCCAACCCCAAAGUUUUCAGUCUACCUGUAUGCAUCCUUGAGCAAGAUGCUCUAUCUGCCCUACCUGCU